GUGCUCGCCUCGACACCACAUACAUUAGAGCUGAAACGACACAGAGGGGUCAGCAUGGCCCUGUGCAAGGAUGACACAGAGAUUCCAGCAGUAUUCCAUACUUUU